rnacentral:rRNA from 1 species
GUAGUCUCGCACAGAUGCAUAUCAAUAAGCGGAGGAAAAGAAACUAACAAGGAUUCCCUCAGUAACGGCGAGUGAAGCGGGAAGAGCUCAAAUUUGAAAUCUUGAAAGGUCACCCUUCACGAAUUGUAGUUUAAAGAAGUGUUUUCUGUUGACGAUCUGGUAAUAUAAGUUCUUUGGAAUAGGACAUCACAGAGGGUGAGAAUCCCGUCUAUGAUUGCAUAUUUUUCAGCUGUGUGAUACACUUUCAAAGAGUCGGAUUGUUUGGGAAUGCAGUCCAAAAUGGGUGGUAAAUUUCAUCUAAAGCUAAAUAUUGGCGAGAGACCGAUAGCGAACAAGUACCGUGAGGGAAAGAUGAAAAGAACUUUGAAAAGAGAGUUAAAUAGUACGUGAAAUUGUCAAAAGGGAAGCGUUUGACACCAGUGUUGUUUUCUCGAAAAUCAAUUAAAAAGAGUUAGAUUUUGUUGUGUAUUGACCUUAACAGCUUGCAUUUCAAUUUUCUUGCUUUUUUUAAUGCACUUUUCGUUUAACAAGUCAACAUCAGUUUCUUUUGUUGUAAAAAGGUCAUUGGAAGGUGGCUUUCUUUUCGGAGAAAGUGUUUAUAGCCUUUGACUCCUGCAAUCGGAGAGACUGAGGUCUGCAGCGUAGAUCCCUCGGGGUUAGAUACAUUUGUGCUAAGUUAUAGCUUUUUAUAGACAACUUGUUGACUAUGAUUAGUCUUGUAGCUUACUCGCUUAUGCUAUUUUACCUACGCUUAGGAUGUUGAAGAUGUAGCACAUCAU